rnacentral:rRNA from 12 species
GCGGAAGAUGUAACGGGGCUAAGCAAUAUACCGAAGCUGCGGCAGCACGUAUGUGCUGGGUAGGGGAGCGUUGUGUAAGUGGAUGAAGGUGAAUCGAGAGGUUUGCUGGACAUAUCACAAGUGCGAAUGCUGACAUGAGUAACGAUAAUGGGGGUGAAAAACCCCCACGCCGGAAGACCAAGGUUUCCUGUCCCAUGCUAAUCAGGGCAGGGUAAGUCGGCCCCUAAGGCGAGGCAGAAAUGCGUAGUCGAUGGGAAACGGGUUAAUAUUCC